AAUAUGGCCCAGUGCUAUACACUAAAACUGUGAUAGAGUCUCAUCUGCCUUUUCAAUUAGCAAAAAAAGAGACGGGAAAAAAGAAAAAGGAAAAAAAAUAAUUCCAUAAUAACAGUACAUGUUCCGCUGAAAAAUUAACCAUGAUAACAAUUUCCUUGCAUAAGGUGCUAGCUAAGAUACUGGCCCUCUGUAAACCAUUCUCUAAAAUGCAAAACAAAAAGCAAAUAAGGUCCCACCCGUCAGAAAACAAACAGACUCAUCGUACACUUCUAUAACUCCCUCUUUUACUAUUUUUCUCAUCUUACUAUAACUCAGGCCUAAAC
rnacentral:sRNA from 1 species